UUCACCCUUGGCAAACCUUGUGUUCCAAAUAUAUGUUAAGCAUGUGCAAAUCUUCUACACAUAUUUCUACAAUAUAAUACAAUUAUACAAUUGACCUGAAAAAUCAGAUUAAAAAGGAAAAAAAAUGGAAAAGAAAACAAAAAGCAAGCAAACAACAAAAAAUGUGAAAAUACUAUGUUGUAAUCCUCAUUCAGUCUCUGUAAUCCUCUCUCUAGAUGCAGAUGGCCCUCUCCAUUAAAAAUCUAUUGGAAUUAGCUUGAAUCACCUCAUACAAUACCUUUUUAACAUGAAACAAGGUCAUGCUAAAAAAAUAUACACAAUGGACCAUAUUUUUAAAAAAGGGAAACAUAUGGAAAGAUUUUUGGAAGCAAUAAAUAUGCAGAAGAAGCCAGUUCUUCACUGUGUCUCUGAUUUCCAAUUUGCAUACCUGGAAACUUUGGACAGAGGCUUCCCCCACAGAUGAGAAAAAUAACACUAACAUAAAAUAAGCAUGAUGGAACAAACAGAAAGUUAUAUUCAACUCUAAAUCCCAAAGGAAAUCAGGAAACAUGUAAUAGAAGA